GGGUCACAUGGAGUAACGGCGGACGUGAAAGACGACCUUCGUAAAAGGAGAAGCACUUCCCUGGGGGAAACCCUUAAAACUGCCCUUUGAUGCCCUGACACGGACGCUGCUUGCAUGGCGGGGUAAUGUGCCUAUCCCCGUUUCAUAUGCCAGGGCAAAGCAGAUUAGACGGCACCCGACAAGACACCUGUACGGAGGGCGAACAAAACCUU
rnacentral:sRNA from 1 species